rnacentral:tRNA from 1 species
UGUAAUUUGGCUCAGUGGUUAGAGCGUAGGUCUCGCAACUGAAAUGUCGCGGGAUCGAAUCCCGCUACAG